AUAUGGUGCUGUUUUAAUGGUGAAAAUAAAUGAUAUGGGAAACUAUGGGUGCUAUCCAGAUUGUGAGGAGAAGAUGUCAAUGCCUCUUUUUGCUGAGGCUAACAUAAAUCUCAUGAGAAAAAGACCAAUGAAAUCAUUGGUAGCUCAUUUCCAGUACAGAUUUAUCUGAGAAUGUGACUCACUUCACCGGUGGUGUCCAAGACCCUCCUUGCACAUGAGCCAGCCCUCAAACUUUCGCCAGCGGUCACAUUGUGGAUCAAGAAAUGGAGAAUCUAGCAAUGAUAAAAUUCAUUAUUCCCAUUCUUCUACUAAUCACCAGCAGGAGACACCUCUGCCUAGUCUCACGCCAUCGCCACUUGUCUCCAGGGAGAAGGGGUAAAAUGAAAUAGUUUGUGACGGUACAUAACUUGAAACAAAUUGAUUCAAUUUAAGUCUUGAUUCCUUGUUUAAAUACAUUGGAUGGAUAUCAAGUGUGGACAGAGAACUAGUGCUACAAGUGUUACUUUAUGCCUUGGAAAUUGCGAUAAGAUGGAUAUCAAGUUCAUAUGAUUGCAGCAUUACAUUUUCAUGUGCCAUAAUUCUCAUCUUGGCAUAGCUUACUCCUUACUCAUGGCACUUAA